AAUGAACGUUGGCGGCAUGGAUUAGGCAUGCAAGUCGGGGGAAUCCCAGCAAUGGGGGAACCGGCGUAAGGGGCAGUAAGGCAUGGGUACCUACCUUGGGGUUCGGGAUAGCCAUCAGAGAUGGUGGGUAAUACCGGAUGACGUCGUGAGACCAAAGAUUUAUCGCCCUUAGAGGGGCCCAUGUGAUAUUAGCUAGUUGGUGGGGUAACGGCCCACCAAGGCGAAGAUGUCUAGCGGGUGUGAGAGCACGACCCGCGCCACUCGCACUGAGACACUGGCGGGACACGUACGGGUGGCUGCAGUCGAGGAUCUUCGGCAAUGAGCGCAAGCUUGACCGAGCGAUGCCGCGUGAGCGAUGAAGGCCUUCGGGUUGUAAAGCUCUUUAGUGGGGGAGAAAAGCCGCAAGGUGUGAUCUAUCCCAAAAAUAAGCACGGGCUAAGUUCGUGCCAGCAGCCGCCGUAA
rnacentral:rRNA from 1 species